rnacentral:rRNA from 1 species
CGCGGCCUAUCAGCUUGUUGGUGGGGUAAUGGCCUACCGUGGCGAUGACGGGUAGCCAGCCUGAGAGGGUGACCGGCCACACUGGGACUGAGACACGGCCCAGACUCCUACGGGAGGCAGCAGUGGGGAAUAUUGCACAAUGGGCGAAAGCCUGAUGCAGCGACGCCGCGUGCGGGAUGACGGCCUUCGGGUUGUAAACCGCUUUCAGCAGGGAAGAAGCGCAAGUGACGGUACCUGCAGAAGAAGCGCCGGCUAACUACGUGCCAGCAGCCGCGGUGAUACGUAGGGCGCGAGCGUUAUCCGGAAUUAUUGGGCGUAAAGAGCUUGUAGGCGGUUUGUCGCGUCUGCUGUGAAAGCCCGGGGCUUAACCCCGGGUGUGCAGUGGGUACGGGCAGACUAGAGUGCAGUAGGGGAGACUGGAAUUCCUGGUGUAGCGGUGAAAUGCGCAGAUAUCAGGAGGAACACCGAUGGCGAAGGCAGGUCUCUGGGCUGUUACUGACGCUGAGAAGCGAAAGCAUGGGGAGCGAACAGGAUUAGAUACCCUGGUAGUCCAUGCCGUAAACGUUGGGCACUAGGUGUGGGGGACAUUCCACGUUUUCCGCGCCGUAGCUAACGCAUUAAGUGCCCCGCCUGGGGAGUACGG